rfam:Populus trichocarpa scaffold_12_contig_179, whole genome shotgun sequence.
UAUGUGGAUGUGAGGAUUGGAGGAAACCAAAGAGAUUGAUGUUUGAAAUGCAUGGUGCUUUCUCUCUGGUUUUCUCCAAUAUCUCAUAUUCAGUUC